GACGAACGCUGGCGGCGUGCUUAACACAUGCAAGUCGAACGCUGAAGCUUGGUGCUUGCACUGGGUGGAUGAGUGGCGAACGGGUGAGUAAUACGUGAGUAACCUGCCCUUGACUCUGGGAUAAGCCUGGGAAACUGGGUCUAAUACUGGAUACGACAUGUCACCGCAUGGUGGUGUGUGGAAAGGGUUUUACUGGUUUUGGAUGGGCUCACGGCCUAUCAGCUUGUUGGUGGGGUAAUGGCUCACCAAGGCGACGACGGGUAGCCGGCCUGAGAGGGUGACCGGCCACACUGGGACUGAGGCACGGCCCAGACUCCUACGGGAGGCAGCAGUGGGGAAUAUUGCACAAUGGGCGGAAGCCUGAUGCAGCGACGCCGCGUGAGGGAUGACGGCCUUCGGGUUGUAAACCUCUUUCAGCACGGAAGAAGCGAAAGUGACGGUACGUGCAGAAGAAGCGCCGGCUAACUACGUG
rnacentral:rRNA from 1 species